rnacentral:rRNA from 1 species
CCUACGGGGGGCAGCAGUGGGGAAUAUUGCACAAUGGGGGAAACCCUGAUGCAGCAACGCCGCGUGAGUGAUGAAGGCCUUCGGGUUGUAAAGCUCUGUCAGCAGGGACGAUAAUGACGGUACUUGAGGAGGAAGCCACGGCUAACUACGUGCCAGCAGCCGCGGUAAUACGUAGGUGGCGAGCGUUAUCCGGAUUUACUGGGCGUAAAGGGAGCGUAGGCGGACUUUUAAGUGAGAUGUGAAAUACUCGGGCUCAACUUGGGUACUGCAUUUGAAACUGGAAGGCUAGAGUGCAGGAGAGGAGAGUAGAAUUCCUGGUGUAGCGGUGAAAUGCGUAGAGAUUAGGAGGAACACCAGUGGCGAAGGCGAUUCUCUGGACUGUAACUGACGCUGAGGCUCGAAAGCGUGGGGAGCAAACAGGAUUAGAUACCCGAGUAGUC